rnacentral:rRNA from 1 species
AACUAACGCUGGCGGCGUGCCUAACACAUGCAAGUCGAACGAGAAAGUCUGCUUCGGCGGAUGAGUAAAGUGGCGGACGGGUGAGUAACGCGUGGAUAAUCUACCCUUUAGUUGGGGAUAACACACCGAAAGGUGUGCUAAUACCGAAUAAGCCUCAAUCUUUGCGGAGAUUGAGUUAAAGGUGGCCUCUGAUUCAAGCUAUCGCUUAAGGAUGAGUCCGCGUACCAUUAGCUAGUUGGUGGGGUAAUGGCCUACCAAGGCUGCGAUGGUUAGCUGGUCUGAGAGGAUGAUCAGUCACACUGGAACUGAGAUACGGUCCAGACUCCUACGGGAGGCAGCAGUGGGGAAUUUUGCGCAAUGGGGGAAACCCUGACGCAGCAACGCCGCGUGAGUGAGGAAGGUCUUCGGGUCGUAAAG